UGAGUACGAGCUGCUACGGCAGCGAAGUGGGUGAUGUCAAGCUUCCAAGAAAAGCCCUAUACCCGUUAAGGCAUGAUGGCCUGUACCCGAAACCGACACAGGUGGGGUGGUAGAGAAUACCGAGGGGCGCGAGAUAACUCUCUCUAAGGAACUCGGCAAAAUGGCCCCGUAACUUCGGGAGAAGGGGUGCCGCCGCAAGGUGGUCGCAGUGAAGGGGCCCAGGCGACUGUUUACCAAAAACACAGGUCUCCGCUAAGUCGCAAGACGAUGUAUGGGGGCUGACGCCUGCCCAGUGCCGGAAGGUUAAGGAAGCUGGUCAGCGUAAGCGAAGCUAGCGACUGAAGCCCCGGUGAACGGCGGCCGUAACUAUAACGGUCCUAAGGUAGCGAAAUUCCUUGUCGGGUAAGUUCCGACCCGCACGAAAGGCGUAACGAUCUGGGCGCUGUCUCGGAGAGAGGCUCGGCGAAAUAGAAUUGUCUGUGAAGAUGCGGACUACGUGCACCCGGACAGAAAGACCCUAUGAAGCUUUACUGUAGCUUGGUAUUGUGCUCGGGCUCGGAAUGCGCAGGAUAGGUGGGAGGCGUUGAACCAUUGCUUGUGGGUGAUGGUGAGCCACUGGUGAGAUACCACUCUUUCCGAGCUAGAGUUCUAACAGCCACCCGUUAUCCGGGGGCUGGACAGUAUCAGGUGGGCAGUUUGACUGGGGCGGUCGCCUCCUAAAAGGUAACGGAGGCGCGCAAAGGUUUGCUCAGGCUGGUUGGAAAUCAGCCGACGAGUGUAAAAGCAGAAGCAAGCUUGACUGUGAGACCUACAAGUCGAACAGGGAGGAAACUCGGCUUUAGUGAUCCGACGGUUCUGCGUGGAAGGGCCGUCGCUCAACGGAUAAAAGUUACUCUAAGGAUAACAGGCUGAUCUCCCCCAAGAGUUCACAUCGACGGGGAGGUUUGGCACCUCGACGUCGGCUCAUCGCAACCUGGGGCUGAAGUCGGUCCCAAGGGUUGGGCUGUUCGCCCAUUAAAGCGGUACGCGAGCUGGGUUCAGAACGUCGUGAGACAGUUCGGUCCAUAUCCGGUGCAUGCGCAGGAAUAUUGAGAGGAUUUCUCCCUAGUACGAGAGGACCGGGAGGAACGCACCUCUGGUGUACCAGUUAUCGUGCCAACGGUAAACGCUGGGUAGCCAUGUGCGGAGAGGAUAACCGCUGAAAGCAUCUAAGUGGGAAGCCCACCUCAAGAUGAGUAUUCCCAUGGGGUAACCCAGUAAGGUCACGGGAAGAACACCCGUUGAUAGGCUCUACGUGGAAGCGCAGUAAUGUGUGAAGCGGAGGAGUACUAAUAGACCGAGGGCUUGAC
rnacentral:rRNA from 1 species